CCUACGGGAGGCAGCAGUGAGGAAUAUUGGUCAAUGGGCGAAAGCCUGAACCAGCCAUGCCGCGUGCAGGAAGACUGCCCUAUGGGUUGUAAACUGCUUUUAUACAGGAAGAAACACUCCCUCGUGAGGGAGCUUGACGGUACUGUAUGAAUAAGCA
rnacentral:rRNA from 1 species